rnacentral:rRNA from 1 species
UUUUAUUUUAUUAUUUUAGAUUAAUUUGUUUUUUGUGUUGAUUUAAUGGAAAUAACUUUAUCUUAAUGUUUGUCUGAGUAUUGUUAAUAGAAUUGAUUUUUUUUAUUAUAGUGGAAUCGGAGAUAUAAAGAAGAGACAAUUUUUAAAGUACUUUUUUUUAAGGUACCUUUUGUAUCAGGGUUGAUAAAAAUUUUUGUAUUGAUUAUGCUUAUCUCGAUUUAGGUUGAUCUAUGAUUGUAUUGUUUUUUAUCGGCCUCUUAAACACAUUAAGAUAUGCAUAGGAGUGAGAUGUUAUCCGUGUCCUAAGGUAUCUAGUUUUUCAAGAAAAAAUUCAAUUUUUUAUAGGUUAUUGAUUAAUUACGAUUUUUUGUUUAUUAAUUAUUUUCUUAUUAAUACUUUAGGGGAUAAGCUCUAUAGUGUUAUUCUAUAAUAUUAGGUUUUAAUUUGAAUAGUAGGCUUUUAACCAGCCAUCUUUUUAUUACGUUUUAGUUCAUUUAUAGUUGAUUUAUGAUUUUAUAAUGUUUUAGAUUUUUUAUUGAAAUAUUUAAAUUAAUUUUUUAUUUAUUGGAAUAAUGAUUGAAUUAGUAUAUUUUUUUUGUAUUUCUUAUUUUAAUUUUAUAAUUUAUUUUAAGGAACUAGGCAAAGCUUAUUCUUCGCCUGUUUAACAAAAACAUGUCUUUUUGAUAAGAAUUUAAGGUUUGACCUGCUCACUGAAUUGUUAUUUUGAAGAGCCGCGGUAUUUUGACCGUGCAAAGGUAGCAUAAUCAUUAGUCCUUUAAUUGGGGGCUGGAAUGAAUGGUUUGACGAAAGAAAGACUGUCUCUAUUAUUAAUUGAUAAAAUUUAACUUUUAAGUUAAAAGGCUUAAAUUUUUCUUUAGGACGAGAAGACCCUAURGAGCUKUAUAUAAAAUUUAUUAUCAUUUUUUUGUUAAUCUAUUAUGUUUAUGGAUUGUUUGUAUUUUGUUGGGGUGACAUAAAGAAUAACUAAACUCUUUAUUUUAAAUAUCAUUAAUUUAUGAAGUAUUGAUCCUUAUUUUGUGAUUAUAAGAUUAAGUUACCUUAGGGAUAACAGCGUAAUUAUUUUUUAGAGUUCAUAUCAACAAAGUAGAUUGCGACCUCGAUGUUGGAUUAAGAUAAGUCCUAGGUGUAUAAGUUUAGGGACUAGGUCUGUUCGACCUUUAAAUUCUUACAUGAUCUGAGUUCAAACCGGUGUAAGCCAGGUUGGUUUCUAUCCUAAGUAUAUUGUUUUGUAUUAGUACGAAAGGACCAUAUAGUUGAAAUAUUUUUUAUUGAUUGAUUAAAAUUAAUUU